AGAGUUUGAUCAUGGCUCAGGAUGAACGCUAGCGGCAGGCUUAAUACAUGCAAGUCGUGGGGCAGCAGGGGUGUAGCAAUACAUCUGCUGGCGACCGGCAAACGGGUGCGUAACACGUACGCAACCUUCCCGUUACUGUGGCAUAGCCCAGGGAAACUUGGAUUAAUACCACAUAUUAUAUUGAGGGGGCAUCCUCUUGAUAUCAAAGCUUCGGCGGUAACGGAUGGGCGUGCGGUUGAUUAGGUAGUUGGCGGGGUAACGGCCCACCAAGCCUACGAUCAAUAGCUGAUGUGAGAGCAUGAUCAGCCACACGGGCACUGAGACACGGGCCCGACUCCUACGGGAGGCAGCAGUAAGGAAUAUUGGGCAAUGGACGAAAGUCUGACCCAGCCAUGCCGCGUGAAGGAUUAAGGUCCUCUGGAUUGUAAACUUCUUUUCUCUGGGGCGAAAAACAGCUAUUCUUAGUUGCUUGACAGUACCAGAGGAAUAAGCACCGGCUAACUCCGUGCCAGCAGCCGCGGUAAUACGGAGGGUGCAAGCGUUAUCCGGAUUCACUGGGUUUAAAGGGUGCGUAGGUGGGCCAGUAAGUCAGUGGUGAAAUCCCCGAGCUUAACUCGGGGAACUGCCGUUGAUACUAUUUGGUCUUGAAUAUCGUGGAGGUAAGCGGAAUAUGUCAUGUAGCGGUGAAAUGCUUACAUAUGACAUAUGACACCGAUUGCGAAGGCAGCUUGCUACACGGUCAUUGACACUGAGGCACGAAAGCGUGGGGAUCAAACAGGAUUAGAUACCCUGGUAGUCCCCGCCCUAAACUAUGGAUACUCGACAUCAGCAUUCACAGUUUGGUGUCCU
rnacentral:rRNA from 1 species